UCCCCGUUGCCGAGGCAGUCUGGUUAGAAAAAUCCAACUAACCAUGAGGGUUGCGCUCGUUGAAGGACUUAACCUAACAUCUCACGACACGAGCUGACGACGACCAUGCAUCACCUGUCACUUGGCUCCAAAAGGCACUCUCUUGUUUCCAAGAGAUUCCAAGGAUGUCAAGUCUUGGUAAGGUUCUUCGCGUACCCUCGAAUUAAACCACACGCUCCACCGCUUGUGCGGGUCCCCGUCAAUUCCUUUGAGUUUUAGCCUUGCGGCCGUACUCCCCAGGCGGGAUGCUUAACGCGUUAGCUUCGCUACCGAACGGGUCGAUACGUCCAACAGCUAGCAUCCAUCGUUUACGGCGUGGACUAC
rnacentral:misc_RNA from 1 species